GAUGAACGCUGGCGGCGUGCUUAACACAUGCAAGUCGAACGGGAAACCUUUUAUUGAAGCUUCGGCAGAUUUAGCUGGUUUCUAGUGGCGGACGGGUGAGUAACGCGUGGGUAACCUGCCCUAUACAGGGGGAUAACAACCAGAAAUGGUUGCUAAUACCGCAUAAGCGCACAGGGCCGCAUGGUCCGGUGUGAAAAACUCCGGUGGUAUAGGAUGGACCCGCGUUGGAUUAGCCAGUUGGCAGGGUAACGGCCUACCAAAGCGACGAUCCAUAGCCGGCCUGAGAGGGUGAACGGCCACAUUGGGACUGAGACACGGCCCAGACUCCUACGGGAGGCAGCAGUGGGGAAUAUUGCACAAUGGGGGAAACCCUGAUGCAGCGACGCCGCGUGAAGGAAGAAGUAUCCCGGUAUGUAAACUUCUAUCAGCAGGGAAGAUAGUGACGGUACCUGACUAAGAAGCCCCGGCUAACUACGUG
rnacentral:rRNA from 1 species